GAUGAAGAACGCAGCGAAAUGCGAUAAGUAAUGUGAAUUGCAGAAUUCAGUGAAUCAUCGAAUCUUUGAACGCACAUUGCGCCCCUUGGUAUUCCGGGGGGCAUGCCUGUUCGAGCGUCAUUAUAACCCUCAAGCCUAGCUUGGUGUUGGAGCAUGCUACCUAAGCAGCUCUUAAAAUCAGUGGCAGUGCCCUUCGGCUCUAAGCGUAGUAACUUCUCUCGCUAUGGAACCCGGAGGGUACGCGCCAGAACCCCCAACUUUCUAUGGAUGACCUCGGAUCAGGUAGGGAUACCCGCUGAACUUAAGCAUAUCAAUAAGCGGAGGA
rnacentral:misc_RNA from 1 species